CUGAUAACAAAAUGUUAGGAGAAGCUAGUUGUAUAUUUAUGCUAUAAUUUUAAUUUCUAUGGAUCUUUAUGAAAAUUUUACUAUAGCCACUAAGUCCACAGUGAUUCUGAACAAGAAGACUUUAUAAUGUCACUCUGCACCAAAAGAGAGUAGCUGACAUCGCUAAAGACCGCUUGAGGACUGAGGGUGAUAACAUACAGAAGCAAGAUGUUAGAGCGCGAAGGAGUCUGGCUCUGAUAACAGUUUGUGUCAAGAAAAUGUAUCCAAAACUGAAAAGACAGAGCAAGACAGGCCUUCCAGUGUCACAUAGAACAACUUCAUAUGAGGAUUAUUUCAUUACAGAAUACACUUUGGCCAUUUCCUCACAAUUUAUUAACUCAUAGUGUACAGUGUUAGAUGUUAGGUUCUAAAUUCUUAUCUAGUAAAGUGUAAUAGAAUUCCAUCCCCUUCAAAGCCUGGGGGCCCAAGCCAGCCACCUCAUUCUGUCCUGCUUUCUGCCAUCUUUAUAAGCUCUGUCACUCUUUGAAACAAUUUCAUCACUUUGAUUCUCAUGAGGAAACAACGCAUGGGAUGUGUUUAUAUACAGGCUCUGGAAUCAACCAAGAGAUAAGGCACUGGGCACAUCUAUAAGACAUCAUCUUAAUCAGGUUAUCUGAAGUGGGAAGACCCAACCUAACUAUAGGUGGCACCUUCCAGGGGUGACCAGAUAAAGGAAGAUGUUGGGGGAAGCUUCACCUCCUGCUUCAUCGCCUUCAAGUCUUGCUGACAGCACAAGCCUGCAUGUAAAAAGCCGAGGGACCAGAGGAGAAAGCUUCCACAUCCGACAAACACUUCAGCAGCAGAGCUGCAUGCAGGCUACAAGGCCAACACAGAAGUGUCUGCCCUUCUUACUAGACUAAAAUGACUCAUCUGGAAGAAAGCAACGCCAUUCACAGCAGCAGUUAAGUGCCUUCAGCAGCACUCAACAAUUACAUUCAAUAGUAGAGCGCUGUACCCAGCAGGUGAGCAGGCCCAGUCCAGAGUUCCAUCCUCAACCCAAGAGAAGACGCAGGGGACAACAGUAUUCAAGUACCAAACUGCCCUGUAAACCGCAGGCUUUACAUACAAUCUCUAAUAAAAGAUCAGGAGGGCAUGGCAAGGUAGGCCGGACUGUCUUUGAGUUCGAGGAGAGUGUGGGCUAAAAGUGUGAGGGACUACAGAAGAGAAGCCCCGUCUCAACAAAACCAAGGGAAAAAUAAAGCCUAAAUUAUUAUUUGGGAACUCUG